rnacentral:rRNA from 1 species
UACGGGGGGGGCAAGCGUUGUUCGGAAUUACUGGGCGUAAAGGGUUCGUAGGUGGCUUGCUAAGUCAGACGUGAAAUCCCUCAGCUUAACUGGGGAACUGCGUCUGAGACUGGUGAGCUUGAGUGCAGGAGAGGAACGCGGAAUUCCAGGUGUAGCGGUGAAAUGCGCAGAUAUCGGGAGGAACACCAGUAGCGAAGGCGGCUCGCUGGGCCAUUCCUGACGCUGAGACGCGAAAGCGUGGGGAGCGAACAGG